CAGUAGCCGCGGUAAUACGAGGGGGGCAAGCGUUGUUCGGAAUUAUUGGGCGUAAAGGGUGCGUAGGCGGUUUGAUAAGUCAUCUGUGAAAUCUCUGGGCUCAACCUAGGAAUUGCAUUUGAUACUGUUUGGCUUGAGUUCGGGAGAGGUGAGUGGAAUUCCCAGUGUAGAGGUGAAAGUCGUAGAUAUUGGGAAGAACACCAGUGGCGAAGGCGGCUCACUGGACCGACACUGACGCUGAGGCGCGAAAGCGUGGGGAGCAAACAGGAUUAGAUACCCCAGUAGUCCCUGUCUCUUAUAC
rnacentral:rRNA from 1 species